AACGGCCGUACCAUGCUGAAUAUACCGGUUCUCGUUAGAUCACCGAAGUCAAGCAUCAUUGGGCGCGGUCAGUACUUGGGUGGGUGACCACCUGGG